rnacentral:rRNA from 1 species
CUAUGCCUACCCGUAACACAACAAUUAAAUCACCCAUUGUUCGCCAAAUAACUACGAGUAAAGACUUAAAAUUUAAAAGACUUGACGGUAUCUCAUAACAACCUAGAGGAGCCUGUCAAAUAACCGAUACCCCACGAUUAAUCCCACCCGCCCUAGCCUAACAGUCUAUAUACCGCCGUCGCCAGCUCACCUUAUGAAAGAAACAAAGUGAGCCAAAUAACCGUCACGCUAACACGACAGGUCGAGGUGUAACCAAUGAGCGGGUUCAUGAUGGGCUACACUUCCUACUACAGGAAACACGGAUAAACUAUGAAACAAGAAACUGAAGGCGGAUUUAGCAGUAUAUUAAGAAUAAAACACUUAAUCGAACCCAAUGCAAUGAGAUGCGUACACACCGCCCGUCAUCCCUGUCACAACAACCAAAACAUCCAUAAUACACACUAACACUCAAAACAGGGCAAGUCGUAACA